AUGGCUUCAGAAGAGCUACAGAAGGAUCUAGAAGAGGUAAAGGUGUCGCUGGAAAAGGCUACUAGGAAAAGAGUACGUGGUGCUCUUACAGCCGAAAAAUCCAAGAUUGAGACAGAAAUCAAGAACAAGAUGCAACAGAAAUCACAGAAGAAAGCAGAACUUCUUGAUAACGAAAAACCAGCUGCUGUGGUUGCUCCCAUUACAACGGGCUAUACGUGAAAAUCAGUAAUUAUGGAUGGGAUCAGUCAGAUAAGUUUGUGAAAAUCUACAUUACCUUAACUGGAGUUCAUCAAGUUCCCCCUGAGAAUGUGCAGGUGCAUUUCACAGAGAGGUCAUUUGAUCUUUUGGUAAAGAAUCUAAAUGGGAAGAUUUACUCCAUGAUUGUGAACAAUCUCUUGAAACCCAUCUCUGUGGAAGGCAGUUCAAAAAAAGUCAAGACUGAUACAGUUCUUAUAUUGUGUAGAAAGAAAGUGGAAAACACAAGGUGAGAUUACCUGACCCAGGUUGAAAAAGAGUGUAAAGAAAAAGAGAAGCCCUCCUAUGACACUGAAACAGAUUCUAGUGAGGGAUUGAUGAAUGUUCUAAAGAAAAUUUAUGAAGAUGGAGAUGAUGAUAUGAAGCGAACCAUUAAUAAAGCCUGGGUGGAAUCAAGAGAGAAGCAAGCCAAAGGAGACACGGAAUUUUGAGACUUUAAAGUCCUUUUGGGAACUGUGAUGUGAGGUGGAAAUACUGAUGUUUCCAGUAAGGGAAUAUUGGUGAGCUGCAUAUAUAAAUUUGACAGAUAGCUAUUUACAUAGCCUUCUAAGUAAAGGCAGUGAAUUCUCCAUUUCCUACUGGAGGAUUUAUUUAAAUAAAAUAUGCUUAUUAAACACUCCUGCAAAGAUGGUUUUAUUAGUACCCUGGUCGUUUUGUUCAAGGAAGGGUUAUAUUGCAUUCUCAUGUGAAAUACAAAAAGCAAGUCUUGCCCAAUAAAAACGCUACAUUGUGUGUAUUUUUUGUUCAGCUAAGAAUUGGAAAAGUAUUUGCUUGCCUUUAAGUUACUGUCAUCAGCUUCCACCAGUGUAAAAAUUGAGUAAAACCUGAAGUUUUGCAUAAAAUGCAAAUCGGUGCCUGUGCUUGAAGGUUGCUGUAGAGCAUCUGACCCCUUAUUACCACCUGAAGCAAUGUAUAUGCCAUGCAUUACCAUGCACUAAUUCAAUCACAGGUGUUUCUAUCUAGAUUUAAAUGUAUUUGUCAAUGAAUGUGGAAUAGAAACUAAAUCUAAACAUGACAAUAACAGACACACAUCUUUGUGUGGUACCAGUUAGUUUUGCUGUGGGUCAGAUGGUUUAUAAAGUAAUAACCAUAAAGCAAAAAAUAAUUUGAAAGCCUGUCCAUUCCUAUGCUCAAUAAAGUUAAGUUUUUCUUC